rnacentral:rRNA from 1 species
GGUUGCGAUCAUACCAUCACUAAUGCACCGGAUCCCAUCAGAACUCCGCAGUUAAGCGUGCUUGGGCGAGAGUAGUACUAGGAUGGGUGACCCACUGGGAAGUCCUCGUGUUGCAACCC